AAGAACUAUCACAAGCAGAAUUUAUCUCUAACCUAUGUUGUGAAUCAUAUGAUAUGGUUAAUAUUCUUGCAAGUGCUACUGAUGUUCUUGCUUCCAAGGAACAAGUAAGAAAAAUAAAAUGUUUAAUGAAAAAUAAGAAGCCUCAAGAUCACAAGGAAAUUACCAGCCAUUCCAGUGACCAGAAAGGAAAAUCAUCUCUGCAUAGUGGAGACACAGAAGAAUCCGAUCUGCAGGAUGCAACUGGAGAGCAGUUGCCUGAUGGUAUUGCUGAAGUACCUUUCUACUCUAGUGACUCACAAAAAGGUCAAAGGUAUGAAGACCGAGAUGGCAAUAUCUCCAGUGACAAUGAAAAUGACUCUGAAUCUGAGUCCGAU
rnacentral:misc_RNA from 1 species